GACGAACGCUGGCGGCGUGCUUAACACAUGCAAGUCGAACGGAAAGGCCCUGCUUUUGUGGGGUGCUCGAGUGGCGAACGGGUGAGUAACACGUGAGUAACCUGCCCUUGACUUUGGGAUAACUUCAGGAAACUGGGGCUAAUACCGGAUAGGAGCUCCUGCUGCAUGGUGGGGGUUGGAAAGUUUCGGCGGUUGGGGAUGGACUCGCGGCUUAUCAGCUUGUUGGUGGGGUAGUGGCUUACCAAGGCUUUGACGGGUAGCCGGCCUGAGAGGGUGACCGGCCACAUUGGGACUGAGGUACGGCCCAGACUCCUACGGGAGGCAGCAGUGGGGAAUAUUGCACAAUGGGCGGAAGCCUUAUGCAGCAACGCCGCGUGCGGGAUGACGGCCGUCGGGUUGUAAACCGCUUUCGCCUGUGACGAAGCGUGAGUGACGGUAAUGGGUAAAGAAGCACCGGCUAACUACGUG
rnacentral:rRNA from 1 species